GGCCCCAUGGUGUAAUAGGCAGCACUCAGGGCUUUGAGUCCUGUAAUCUGAGUUCAGAUGUGAGUGGGACCU
rnacentral:tRNA from 1 species